AUAUCAAUUAGCGGAGGAAAAGAACCCAACAGGGAUUGCCCUAGUAACGGCGAGUGAAGCGGCAGCAGCUCAAAUUUGAAAUCUGGCUCCCCCCCGCGGGGUGCCCGAGUUGUAAUUUGCAGAGGAUGCCUCUGGCGCGGCGCCUUCCGAGUUCCCUGGAACGGGACGCCAUAGAGGGUGAGAGCCCCGUAUGGUCGGCAGCCAAGCCUCUGUGAGGCUCCUUCGACGAGUCGAGUAGUUUGGGAAUGCUGCUCAAAAUGGGAGGUAUAUGUCUUCUAAAGCUAAAUACCGGCCAGAGACCGAUAGCGCACAAGUAGAGUGAUCGAAAGAUGAAAAGCACUUUGAAAAGAGGGUUAAACAGUACGUGAAAUUGUUGAAAGGGAAGCGCUCGCGACCAGACUCGGGCCCGGCGGAUCAUCCGGCGUUCUUCGCCGGUGCACUCCGCCGGCGCCCGGGCCAGCAUCGGCUCGGCCGCGGGGGAUAAAGGCGGCGGGAACGUGGCCCCUCCGGGGGUGUUAUAGCCCGCCGCGCAAUGCCCCGCGCCGGGCCGAGGACCGCGCCCCAGGCAAGGAUGCUGGCGUAAUGGUCGCUAGCGACCCGUCUUGAAACACGGACCAAGGAGUCGUCUUCGUAUGCGAGUGUUCGGGUGUCAAACCCCUACGCGCAAUGAAAGUGAACGCGGGUGAGAGCCCUCGCGGGCGCAUCACCGACCGAUCCUGAUGUUCUCGGAUGGAUUUGAGUAAGAGCAUACGGGGCCGGACCCGAAAGAAGGUGAACUAUGCCUGUGUAGGGUGAAGCCAGAGGAAACUCUGGUGGAGGCUCGCAGCGGUUCUGACGUGCAAAUCGAUCGUCAAACAUGGGCAUGGGGGCGAAAGACUAAUCGAACC
rnacentral:rRNA from 1 species